rnacentral:rRNA from 1 species
GAGUAAUGUCUGGGAAACUGCCUGAUGGAGGGGGAUAACUACUGGAAACGGUGGCUAAUACCGCAUAACGUCGCAAGACCAAAGAGGGGGACCUUCGGGCCUCUUGCCAUCAGAUGUGCCCAGAUGGGAUUAGCUUGUUGGUGAGGUAACGGCUCACCAAGGCGACGAUCCCUAGCUGGUCUGAGAGGAUGACCAGCCACACUGGAACUGAGACACGGUCCAGACUCCUACGGGAGGCAGCAGUGGGGAAUAUUGCACAAUGGGCGCAAGCCUGAUGCAGCCAUGCCGCGUGUAUGAAGAAGGCCUUCGGGUUGUAAAGUACUUUCAGCGGGGAGGAAGGUGUUGUGGUUAAUAACCGCAGCAAUUGACGUUACCCGCAGAAGAAGCACCGGCUAACUCCGUGCCAGCAGCCGCGGUAAUACGGAGGGUGCAAGCGUUAAUCGGAAUUACUGGGCGUAAAGCGCACGCAGGCGGUCUGUCAAGUCGGAUGUGAAAUCCCCGGGCUCAACCUGGGAACUGCAUUCGAAACUGGCAGGCUUGAGUCUUGUAGAGGGGGGUAGAAUUCCAGGUGUAGCGGUGAAAUGCGUAGAGAUCUGGAGGAAUACCGGUGGCGAAGGCGGCCCCCUGGACAAAGACUGACGCUCAGGUGCGAAAGCGUGGGGAGCAAACAGGAUUAGAUA